CGAAGGGGGCUAGCGUUGUUCGGAAUUACUGGGCGUAAAGCGCAUGUAGGCGGCGACUCAAGUCGGGGGUGAAAUCCCAGGGCUCAACCCUGGAACUGCCUUCGAUACUGUGUUGCUAGAGUAUGGAAGAGGUUGGUGGAACUGCAAGUGUAGAGGUGAAAUUCGUAGAUAUUUGCAAGAACACCGGUGGCGAAGGCGGCCAACUGGUCCAUUACUGACGCUGAGAUGCGAAAGCGUGGGGAGCAAACAGGAUUAGAUACCCUGGUAGUCCACGCCGUAAACGAUGAGAGCUAGCUGUUGGAAGGUUUACUUUUCAGUAGCGCAGAUAACUCAAUAAGCUCUCCGCCCGGGGAGUACGGUCGCAAGAUUA
rnacentral:rRNA from 1 species